rnacentral:lncRNA from 1 species
UCCAAUUAUCCUACAUAUAUCAUUAAAACCGCAACAACAAUUAAUCACAUGAAUAUUAACUUUAGGGUUUAAACCAUCAUUUAGGUCACAACCCUAACUUAGCACCUAACCACGUAGGUUAAAUAUACUUAAUGAAUCUGAAAUUACACAUUGAUCAACAUAACUUAAUCGUUCAACUCAAUCUUUCGAAAACAUCUCAUUUGGUUUCAUUUUAUAACUAAAUUAACAAUCAUGUCAAAAUCUUUUAUACUUUGUAUUAUAACGCAUGACAAUCUGCUAUUGUAGUUUAUAUCAUGCCUCAACAUCAAUAACAUGCUUACAAUACUAAUAUGAGUCCAUUGUGCCUGACCUGCAAACAAGCAGACCUCACUGCCCCAGUUCAGGGUGUGGCGCAUGUGGCGACCCCAAAUCCGGAUACUUGAAACCCGAACUCGGUUCUCCACGAUACCAUUUCUUUAAGCUGAAUAAUAAUAAUAAUAAUAUAAUUCGAACUUAAUUUACAUACAUCAAAGUUUACUUUCCCAGGUACGUGACCUUCAAAUACAUUCCUUACAAUACCUGACAAUAGAUUCCAUUGUCUUACUAACUAUAACCAUUAACUCAUACUAAAU